CAAGUCCAGAAAGUUUCCCCAACAACUGAUGUCAGAAGGGAGGGGAGCCCUAGCUCCACCCAUCCACUGCAGAAAAGCCUUGGUACUUCCAGGUCAGUAGUAUGAGGUGACUCCGGAAUAUUCUAGACUCCGGGUGGGGGGGUGAGCAGGUGAUUGUCUACCUGGUGGCAGGCAGGUACCACCUGGAGGAAACUUAAGAGCCCCGACAGAUUCCUUGUGCAUCAAAGUGACCACCAGGGACAUCAUCUGAAGCAGAGGAGGUCCUGCAUCUGCCUUUUUCUGAAAGAGACAUUGAUGGCCAUUGUGGAAGUGGCUGCCUACAUCCUAUAUAGUUCUAAAGCUGAGACACCUGGUGAAGUAUCAGGUCCCUCGAGGUAGGAGCCCCAUUUGGGAGUCGUUCACAAUGGUGGACACAAGGAACAGCAGCCUGUGCCCUACCUAGUGAGACCUCAAGCACAGCUUGGCACAGGCACUCUCAGCCCGUCGGCUUUCUCAUCACAGACCUGGGCUAACGUGGGUCCCUGCUCACUCAUGUGAGAAGCUGUUUAUGUGAAGGAGCAGGAGCGGUGGAGGUGGAGGAUUGGGGGAAACACAGCAGGCCAGAGUCUGCUCUAGCCUGAGAAAGAGGAGGAGGGGACAGAGUGGGUGGCCAGGGAGGAAGCAAAGGGGACAGAAGAAAGAAUGCCCAGCUGAUGGCCAGGGCUAGCUGGCUUGCAAUCCAGUUCCCUCCUUCUCUGGAUUGCUGGGUGCAGGAAGGCAGAGUAGGAAUCCUGGGACCUGGGGUGGGAAAGUGCCAGGAGCUGCCAGUGCAUUUCCGGGUCCAGGCUAUGGCCCGUGCUGGAGCAGGCUGCCCUAGGGAACCCAGACUCUCCUCUCUGCAUACAUUAAUUAUGACAGAAUAAACAACACUGUUUUGAAAAAUGCA